UACAGAGGGUGCGAGCGUUGUCCGGAAUCACUGGGCGUAAAGGGCGCGUAGGUGGCGACCCAAGUCGAUGGUGAAAGCUCGCCGCUCAACGGCGAGUCGGCCACUGAUACUGGGUUGCUCGAGCACUGUAGAGGCAGAUGGAAUUCCGGGUGUAGCGGUGGAAUGCGCAGAUAUCGGGAGGAACACCUAUGGCGAAGGCAGCUCGCUGGGACGUUACUGACGCUGAGACGCGAAAGCGUGGGGAGCAAACAGG
rnacentral:rRNA from 1 species